rnacentral:rRNA from 1 species
GUCCUAGCCGUAAACGAUGCAUACUAGAAGUAGGAGGGCUCAACCCUUUCUGUUUCGGAGCUAACGCGUUAAGUAUGCCACCUGGGGAGUACGCUCGCAAGGGUGAAACUCAAAAGAAUUGACGGGGGCCCCGCACAAGCAGUGGAGCAUGUGGUUUAAUUCGAUGCAACGCGAAGAACCUUACCUGGGCUCGAAAUGUAGAGGACUAGUCAAGAGAUUGACUAUCCCGAAAGGGUCUCUAUAUAGGUGCUGCAUGGCUGUCGU